rnacentral:rRNA from 1 species
GAGUUUGAUCAUGGCUCAGAUUGAACGCUGGCGGCAUGCCUUACACAUGCAAGUCGAACGGCAGCACGGGAGCUUGCUCCUGGUGGCGAGUGGCGAACGGGUGAGUAAUGCGUCGGAACGUAUCCUGGAGUGGGGGAUAACGUAGCGAAAGUUACGCUAAUACCGCAUAUUCUGUGAGCAGGAAAGCGGGGGACCUUCGGGCCUCGCGCUCUUGGAGCGGCCGAUGUCGGAUUAGCUAGUUGGUGAGGUAAAGGCUCACCAAGGCGACGAUCCGUAGCAGGUCUGAGAGGAUGAUCUGCCACACUGGAACUGAGACACGGUCCAGACUCCUACGGGAGGCAGCAGUGGGGAAUUUUGGACAAUGGGGGCAACCCUGAUCCAGCCAUGCCGCGUGAGUGAAGAAGGCC